rnacentral:rRNA from 1 species
AUACGAAGGGGGCUAGCGUUGUUCGGAAUUACUGGGCGUAAAGCGCGCGUAGGCGGAUCGGUCAGUUAGGGGUGAAAUCCCAGGGCUUAACCCUGGAACUGCCUCUAAUACUGCCAGUCUUGAGUUCGGGAGAGGUGAGUGGAAUUCCUAGUGUAGAGGUGAAAUUCGUAGAUAUUAGGAAGAACACCAGUGGCGAAGGCGGCUCACUGGCCCGAUACUGACGCUGAGGCGCGAAAGCGUGGGGAGCAAACAGGAUUAGAUACCCUAGUAGUCC